rfam:Schistosoma rodhaini strain Burundi genome assembly, scaffold: SROB_scaffold0002111
AUCCAUCUGACGAGUCCCAAAUAGGACGAACACGCAUCCUGCAU